rnacentral:rRNA from 1 species
AAACUUUCAACAACGGAUCUCUUGGUUCUCGCAUCGAUGAAGAGCGCAGCGAAAUGCGAUACCUAGUGUUGAAUUGCAGCCAUCGUGAAUCAUCGAGUUCUUGAACGCACAUUGCGCCCUCCGGCAUUCCGGGGGGCAUGCCUGUUUGAGCGUCGUUU